UACGAAGGGGGCUAGCGUUGCUCGGAAUCACUGGGCGUAAAGCGCACGUAGGCGGAUCUUUAAGUCAGGGGUGAAAUCCCGGAGCUCAACUCCGGAACUGCCUUUGAUACUGAAGAUCUUGAGUUCGGGAGAGGUGAGUGGAACUGCGAGUGUAGAGGUGAAAUUCGUAGAUAUUCGCAAGAACACCAGUGGCGAAGGCGGCUCACUGGCUCGAUACUGACGCUGAGGUGCGAAAGCGUGGGGAGCAAACAGG
rnacentral:rRNA from 1 species